rnacentral:rRNA from 1 species
UACAGAGGUCCCGAGCGUUGUUCGGAUUCACUGGGCGUAAAGCGCGCGUAGGUGGUUCAGCAAGUUGGAUGUGAAAGCCCUGGGCUCAACCUGGGAACUGCAUCCAAAACUACUGAGCUAGAGUACGGUGGAGGGUAGUGGAAUUUCCUGUGUAGCGGUGAAAUGCGUAGAUAUAGGAAGGAACACCAGUGGCGAAGG